CGGUGACAAACCGGAGGAAGGUGGGGAUGACGUCAAAUCAUCAUGCCCCUUAUGACCUGGGCUACACACGUGCUACAAUGGAUGGUACAAAGAGCAGCAAACCCGCGAGGGCUAGCAAAUCUCAUAAAGCCAUUCUCAGUUUGGAUUGCAGGCUGCAACUCGCCUGCAUGAAGCCGGAAUCGCUAGUAAUCGCGGAUCAGCAUGCCGCGGUGAAUACGUUCCCGGGCCUUGUACACACCGCCCGUCACACCACGAGAGUUUGUAACACCCGAAGUCGGUGAGGUAACCUUUUGGACCAGCCGGC
rnacentral:rRNA from 1 species